UACGUAGGGGACGAGCGUUGUCCGGAUUCAUUGGGCGUAAAGCGCGCGCAGGCGGCCGUGUAAGUCGGAUGUGAAAUGCCGGGGCUCAACCCCGGAACUGCAUCCGAUACUGCACGGCUAGAGGUAGGUAGGGGAGAUCGGAAUUCCUGGUGUAGCGGUGAAAUGCGCAGAUAUCAGGAGGAACACCGGUGGCGAAGGCGGAUCUCUGGGCCUUACCUGACGCUCAUGCGCGAAAGCUAGGGGAGCGAACAGG
rnacentral:rRNA from 1 species